AAGACAGCUACACAAKAACUGCUAACUCUUGUCCCCAUAUAUAAAAAUAUGGCUUUCUUA
rnacentral:tRNA from 1 species